rnacentral:rRNA from 1 species
CCUACGGGAGGCUGCAGUGAGGAAUCUUCCACAAUGGGCGAAAGCCUGAUGGAGCGACACCGCGUGAAGGAUGAAGCCUUUGUUGGUGUAAACUUCUUUUCUCUUGGAAGAUAAUGACGGUACAAGAGGAAUAAGGGGCGGCAAACUUCGUGCCAGCAGCCGCGGUAAUACGAGGGCCCCAAGCGUUAUCCGGAAUGACUGGGCGUAAAGCGUCUGUAGGUGGCUUUUUAAGUUUCGUAUGAAACUCCAGGGCUCAACCCUGGAUUGUGCGAAAAACUGGGGAACUUGAGUGUGGGAGAGGCAAGCAGAACGGUAUGAGUAGGGGUGCAAUCCGUUGAUACAUACCAGAAUACCAAAAGCGAAGGCAGCUUGCUGGAACACUACUGACACUGAGAGACGAAAGCUAGGGGAGCGAAUGGGAUUAGAUACCCUAGUAGUC